rnacentral:rRNA from 2 species
UGGGGAAUAUUGGACAAUGGGCGCAAGCCUGAUCCAGCCAUGCCGCGUGAGUGAUGAAGGCCCUAGGGUUGUAAAGCUCUUUCACCGGUGAAGAUAAUGACGGUAACCGGAGAAGAAGCCCCGGCUAACUUCGUGCCAGCAGCCGCGGUAAUACGAAGGGGGCUAGCGUUGUUCGGAAUUACUGGGCGUAAAGCGCACGUAGGCGGACUUUUAAGUCAGGGGUGAAAUCCCGGGGCUCAACCCCGGAACUGCCUUUGAUACUGGAAGUCUUGAGUAUGGUAGAGGUGAGUGGAAUUCCGAGUGUAGAGGUGAAAUUCGUAGAUAUUCGGAGGAACACCAGUGGCGAAGGCGGCUCACUGGACCAUUACUGACGCUGAGGUGCGAAAGCGUGGGGAGCAAACAGG